rnacentral:rRNA from 1 species
UACGGAGGGUGCAAGCGUUAUCCGGAAUCAUUGGGUUUAAAGGGUCCGCAGGCGGAUUUAUAAGUCAGUGGUGAAAGCCUGAUGCUUAACAUCAGAACUGCCAUUGAUACUGUAAGUCUUGAAUUCGAUCGAAGUGGGCGGAAUAUGACAUGUAGCGGUGAAAUGCUUAGAUAUGACAUAGAACACCGAUAGCGAAGGCAGCUUGCUACACAAUUAUUGACACUGAGGCUCGAAAGCGUGGGGAUCAAACAGG